rnacentral:SRP_RNA from 1 species
CUGUGCUAGAUGGGGAGGUAGCGGUGCCCUGUUGCCUGCAAUCCGCUAUAGCAGGAUCGAAUUCCCCGCCGAGGCCCUGUGCUUGUGGCGCUGCCUCCGGCACGUGGUGAUGAGGACUGGGUCCCGUGCAACGGAAGCUCAUGAAUCCCGUCAGGUCCGGAAGGAAGCAGCGGUAAGUGAUCCCUUUCGUGUGUUGCGGGUCAGCCUGGUCUGAGCCGGCGACCGGAGUACCGGCUGUGAGGCAUGGUCAGAGUGGGGUGCACAG